UGUUGGUUUAGUCUGACAUAGGUCAUUAUCAUAGUUCGGGUAGUGAGCACCGGCACUAAAUCCACUAGCCCCAGAAUGAGUAUUUGUAGUCACCCAGACAACUCCUAACCUCCUAAAUGGAACUAGAAACUAGGGAUCGAGUAUUGCUAACUAACAAGACGGAAAACGACUACCGCCAGAAUGCAUAUACUAAUACAAUAAAUAGAACUUUGUAACCCAAGCCUGACUUUCAUGUCUAUCAGAUUGAAAACACUGCUUCUAAUAGCGGAACUUGUAGCUGGGGAUCCGACUAAUGAGUAAGAGAACGCGCCUACUGCUGAUAAAGCUGAAACCGAUGUCAACAAGAACCAACCUCAAAAGUCAGAAAAAGGGAACCAACAUCCAAGUAUAAGAGUGAAAACACCAAGAGAGAGAGAAGAAUCAAAGAAUCAAAUAAAGGUGUUGAAACGCGGUGUGAAUGAGUGAAUCCUAACCUAGUGCCAGUUAAGUAUAAAGGUUAGGUAGAAGAAUAUGAAGCAUCAGCCCGCCCCUCUAACUAAGCUAAGCAGUUUCAACAGAGGGUCACUCGCUCGCUAACGGGAGUUUCAGUAGGAAUUUCAGAAUGGAGUUUCGGAAUGUAAGACAAGCCCCACUAGCGAACAUAGAAAUAGAAUCCCCUUUAAGUCAGCCACUCGAGUUUCCGUUUUCACUUUCACAGUUUGUAGUUAACAUUUGAUAGGACGCCUUAAAAGAAAAAGACCACCCAUGCGAGCAUAAUUCAUAGAGAAAGCAAUUGCUCAUGCGCUGAGACUAGUCGAUUUAUCAAAUGCCUAAUUAUGAGGAAGAAAUGGAAUGUCCCAUAUUAGAGGACCUUGAUCCACUCCUUUGGAACCAGUCCCGUACUACUAAAUGAAUAAUGCUGAUUUGUUAACCUGCAUCCCCUAGUCCUUGUCCAUAGCAAUAGAAAGAACGAGAAGAACUAAACUAAGUAAGGUAACCUAGUCCUUGUCCAUAGCAAUAGAAAGAACGAGAAGAACUAAACUAGGUAAGGUAACCUAGGUAAGGUAAGCAUUAUAACGAACGAGGUGAAGAAGAAGAACGCUAUACUUCCCCACAAUUCCAAUUGCAUCAAAUAAGAAGAUAUGGGGUGAGAUGUUAGAAUGAUAGUAGGAUGAGGUAAGGCUCACAUCUUAAGGGUUCGGUUCUUCAUCCCGAUUAUCCCGAUAGGGUAGGAAAGGUCGAGGUAAGCUCUUUUGAAAACUCAUUUGUCUAUGUCUAUUCAAAUCAAAACCAAGCACGGUCACUUCUUUAGGCAAUAAAAUCAGAGUUCAAUCCCAGUCUCUUGUGCUAUACGCAAAUAGAGAUUUCUGCCCCGUUGUUGGCAUAUCAGCUUCCAUAGUAUAAGUUAUGUUCCCAACCUUAGAAAACCUAUACUUAAGACCGGCAAUGCAGCUAAUCCGAGUGGAGACUUAGAGCUUUAUUCGUGAAGAGAAGGGUUCGGGAGCAAUUCCAAAGCUUCAACAACAGCUAGUUCUCCCCUUUGCACUAAAUAAUAUACGAAAGAUGUGGCAAAGAAGGCAAUCCCCAGUCUUCGCUCAAGCUCGAGCUCCUUUUUCUACAAAUAACUCCUAGAAAGUAUGGUGGCUAAGGAUCCUUCUUUAAUAGAAAGAUGGGUUCGACUUCUUAUCUUAUUUCGAUCUCUUUAUCCAACUCACGCACAGGCGCAUGUAAACUCCAACUAAGGACCUAAGUCAAGUGGAACCGUUGAACGCGCACCAUCCCUUGCCCGUGAAAAAGCGCUUUUUCUGCUAUGAAUGAAAGCCCUCUCUCUAUCUUAAGAAAUUACUACUUGUGGCCGGAAGGAUCGAAACCACAUUCGUCGCCCCUUUUCCAUACUUCUGGUUGGAUUCGCAUCACAUAUAGAGAAGCCAUAAAGAAACUAUUUGAAACAAGCCGUUCCCUAUCUCGAAAGGGGCCCAGCCCAGGUUUCUUCCUUAUUUGAUUAGUACUUAGUUAUCCGGGUUUCAUGCGUAAGUGAAGUCGACACUUGAAUAAAAGAAAGAGCAGUCUCACCUGAUCCGCCAUAUCCCUACGGAUAAUCAUAGCUUACAAGACCUAUUUCUUUCUCUUACGUGCCAGUACAGGGCCAAGAGUCAGGAUAUACGAGAGGUUGCCCAGCAACAAUACAUAUUUACGAUCUUGCUCGCUUUCUUCUUUUCAUUCCAUUCGAGCUUUGCCUUCAGACAUCUUCCGCAGCAACCCACUCUUGUAUAGUAAGUAGUUUCAUAGUCUCCCCAAUAGUAAGUAGUUUCAUAGUCUCCCCAAAGAAGUACUUUCGUGAACUGCACUUUGCCUAUUUCAUAUCCGCGGAUUAGGGCUAUAUUCCAAUCCAAGAGAGAUACGUGAAGUGGAUUGAGUGUACAAAAAAACACUUAAACAGACUCUAUAGAAGCCAUAGGCUAGACCCAAUAGACUCCAUUAGUGAAGG
rnacentral:lncRNA from 1 species